rnacentral:lncRNA from 1 species
UUUUUAAUUUAACAUUUUGUAGUCGUAUUUAAACCUUGUAUUUACCAAGUUGCACAUAUCCUUGGUUUUUGGAAUUAACGAAACUAUCUUUAAUUAAUGUAAUAGGUGCACUGAAUUUCAAUUUCCCAAAACAUAAAGCUUUUCUGAUAACAAAUAUAGUUUCAUCCAAGGUUAAAAGAAGUACAAUGUUAGACCAUCAUGUAAUCGAGUUUGCUAGAAUUUUCACUUUUAUGUAUCGUAUCAUAUGCAACCAAUCAUAUUCUAUGACACCACUAAUAAAAAACGUGGUGGAAGGCAAACAUCAAUCGUACAUGUGUUAUGUAUAACCUUGUAUUUCUAUUAACCUGGCUCUCAAAAGAGCUUGUUACAAGAUUGCCCUCUAAAAUAUAUUUUUUUUGUUACAAUCCUGCAUAUUAAAAUACUCAUGGGUUUCUAAUGAACACAGACAAACUAUUAUAAAUUUUUAGGUUUACCAUAAGAACUAGCACACGAUUAUUUUUCCAUAAUCCCCCCCCCCCAACUAAUACAUAAGUAUUAGAGAAAAAACCCUCAUCCCGUUCGACUGAGAUACAAACAUUAUUUUUACAAAUAAGUUAAAAAGCAUUGAAAAACGUUGAACGAGGUUUAAUCAAGACUAAAAACAGCUGGAAUGAUCCUUUCCCCUGAAAAAUGCGAGUUUUUCAUGAAAUCAGUUGACUUCCUUGGACAUUCUAUUUCACCGAAAGGUAUUAGGCCUCCAGAAUGUAAGAUAAGCGCAAUCCAAAAAGUAACAUCUCCAAAAUCAAAAGAUGAACUUCAUAGAUUUUUGGGCAUGGCAAAAUAUUACUCUCAGUUCAUCGAAAGUUUGUCUCAAUGGACAGUUCAUUUGUACCCCUGUUAAAGAAGAAUGUUAAGUUUAAUUGGAAUACAGAAUAAGAACACGCCUUGCAAGUUCAUUGCCUUUAGCCCUGACGAAUGAUGCAUCUGAUACAGGAAUGGGAGCUGUUCUCGAGCAAAAAGUAAUUGGACACUGGCAACCUCUAGCUCUUUGGUCUCGGGUUCUUUCUUCGACACAACAUAAAUAUUCUACGUUUGAUAGGGAAUUAUUAAGUGUUGAGGAAAGCAUCAAACAUUUUCUAUGGGCUUUGGAUUGACAAGUGUUUAAAGUUUUCACGGACCACAAACGUUUAGUCACUGCACUUGACAAUUACAAUCCCUCUUGGACACCCAGACAGUUCCAUACGUUUGCAUUCAUAGUUCAACAAUAUUAUGGAUCCCACUAGCCACACAUGUAAUACAUAACACUGGGAAUAGUGUAUUUUGAGGUCUUUGCCGGCUUUUUUGCAAUAUGAAGCACCAUCCUUGAUUAACCUUUUAAGCACGAAAGGGCAUUUAAAUACCCUAUGAUAUAUUAUACCAUAAAUCCGUAAUUGUUUUAUUAAAUAAAUGAUAUUUUUGCAGGUUGUUCCUGAGUACGUUAGUAAUAAAUUAUUAAUAAGGAUGAAUAUGAUCUGGUUAAUUAUCAUCAGUUUGUUGUUUGUAAUGGCAUUUAAGGAUUUGUUCAAGCUAAAAAAAUAAGCCAUUUAGUUUUCAUUGUAAUAAAUAUCAUAAAUACUCCUUCUUCAUAAAAUAAUUUAUUUUUCUCCUUUACUUUUUCACGACAUAGAGUUCCAUUUUUGCUUCGUUAGUCUAUAUUGCAGUUUAACAGUCGAUGAUAUCUUAGAUUUGCAAGAAAUUCUCGCAUUUCAAUGUGGAGAGAAAAAAAACCCCAAAAAAUUAUGGAUCGGAUCAGGAUUCCGCCAAUUCUGAAGAUACAAAUAGUCUCAGAAGGGGAGGCACCUGUUUUCUUCUUCGCAGUGAGAGUUAUGACGAUGAAAUAAUUAGUGAUACAAAAAAAAAAAAAAUACAUACAAUGGAAGGGAAAAAAACAGAUUUUUUAAUUCUUGCCUAUUUCAACAUUGAAGAAACAUCCCCCUCAACAUAGAAUCAUGGGAGUAUUUUGAGCAAUUCUUUGACCAGAACCUGAGAGAUCUCAUCAUUCUUAAAAGUAAUAGGUAUGCAAGUCAAAACAAAAUGACCUUGGAUUUGACAGAAGAUGAGCUCUUUGUUUUCAUUAGUAGUCUUUUUUUUAUCCAGCACGAUUCUUCAACAGAUAAGAAAAGAUACUGAUCAAAUUUUGAAGUUGUUCCUUAUAUUUCAACCAAUAAUAUUAGACGAUAUCUAUUUUUAAAUAUUAUGAAAAAAAUUAAUUUUGUAGACAAUCAAAAAUUCAGACACUAGAGCGAAACUGAUGGCCAUGCUUUGAGGCUUUACAGGCAUCAUUUUGGAAGUUCGGAGCCACAACUGAAUAUUCACCUAUAAAUUAAAGUAUGGUUCUAUAUUAUGGAAAAUAUCACGGUUAACAGUUCAUUCGAGGAAAACCCAUUCGUUUUGGGAUAUAAAAUUUCGAACCAUUGUUCUAAAAGAGGAUUCUUACAUUCCGUUGAUUUCUGCGCAAGGAAAAUCUAUAAGACAACCCUUAAGGGAGAGCUUGCCUUUGGAGGAAAUGUUGUCAUGCAUUCAUCAAAUUUGGAUGGACUGCAAAACCAAAAAGAAUACAAAUUAUUUUGGACAAUUUUUUUACAAGCCUUCUAUUAUUUGAUAAUUUAUCGGGAAAAAGAAUUUACGGUAUGUGAAGGGCUCGAGAAAACAGACUAAAAAAAUAUCCUUAACUGAACAAAAAGCAGUUGUUUCAGCAAGUAAGAGAGAAAGUAGAUUUUACCUAUGAAAAAAAAAAAAAAUUUGUUUAAAAAUAGAAGGAGGCAAUUAUCUUAUUUUAGCUUCGAACUUCGGAUCAAAUAAGCUAUUAUCUACCAAGUGAUAUUGUGGCUCACUAAAGAAAUAUAUUGAUAUACUUCAACCCGAAAAUUUGAAUGAAUAUAACAAGUACAUGGGCAAUGUGAAUCAAAUGGAUGAGGUGAUGUCGAAAUAUCGGAUAAAGAUCCGGUAGACGAAAUAGUGCGUACUCAAGUAUUUAACAACCUAUGGAACUAAUAGGAUUCAAAAAGAAAAAUACAUUACAACAAAUCACAAGUGUUUGUUACAAAAAAAGAGGAACACUAAGUGUAGAUCAUACAAGAGCUAAGUGAGACAAAUGUUAAUUUCUCAAUCAAAAAGUUCGCUGAGAUUCGUAAGUGGAAAUACAGAUUUAAUUUUAGCGAUUUUCAGUCUUUCAAACAGUAUCGUUAAACAUGAAAAAUCUUUUUUCGUUUAUUAAAUUCUUAUUUGUGCUUUUGUGGACUGUGCACCCUUUUUUGUAUGAUGAUGAUUUUAAGAACAAAAGUGAUAUUAUCAAACGCAAAAAAGAGUUACUUACAUCCAGAAUCACUGUUAAAAACGGGGUAAAUGCUAUAAACGCGAAAAUGGUGAGUGAUUUUGCAAAAAUAUUACUUUGAAGGCUGAUUUCUCAUCAAUUUGUCUUGAAAAACUACUGAUAUCACAUUGUCUGCUCAAUUAACAUUAUUUUCCAUAGAGGUUUAGAGGUCAUGAAAUUUGAGAAGAAUUGCUUGGCUUAGAAACUUUGUCUUCAAAUACCACAAAGAAAGAUAUAUACGAGAUUGUGCUAACUAUGUUGCGUGAAAGUUAAUCUUCUACAAUUCUGAUAUUGUCAGGGAUGAUGGCAGGAUGAAAAAUGAUCCGAAGAAGAAAAUCAAAGCAUACUACGCCUUAUACGAGAGUAGAGUCGACUCCUUCUAAGUAGGAAUACAUUGAUCCAUAUAUAAAACAAUGAAUAUACUCAAAGUUGAAAAUAUGAAGGAAUCCAUUCACUUUAGGGUGUGGAUGUCAAAUAUAAAACAAAGAUACGUAAAUUAUGUACUAACUACACUAUAAAGUUAUAAUCAUAAAACGAAAAUAUAUAACAAUUUGAAAUCUAAAUGUAAUUUUAAUUUUACAAUUGUUCAGGCCUUAAUUCAUUAAAAGCGGAAGAAUUAUACUUUUAUUUUCUCUACGAGUUAGGCCCUAAAGAAGAUAGAGAAAAUCGGAGAAAAAAUUGUUAACUUAAUCAUCCAUUUUAAUAACUGCUCCAAUUCGGAAUGCUGUAUUCCACGAAGAACAAUGUGAAAAUUCCUCUGAGGAAAAUUACAAGGGCUGAUAAGAUAGUAGAAAAUAUUCCUUCCUUAGGAAGUAGAUUUCAGGAUUGAAACAAUGAAGAGAUCAAUUCCUAGUGAUUUGGGAAUUUAUAUAUAUCAAAUGUAAUUAACAGUUAUAUUAUUAAAUUUGUACAAAGAAAGGUAUUAUAUUAUGAUAUUAAGAUAUGAUGAAUUCAGAAAGCCAGUAUUCGAAUGUUCAUCAAUUGUAGACAUAGAUCUAAAUUGGAAAACCGAUAUACGAGGGCUGUUUGAAAAGUCUGUAGUGGGUGCAAAAUGCCCCCACUGCCCGAAAGCACGUAUGGGUAUAAUUGAAAUCACUAGUGUUAUAUAGUUACUGCACGUUACCUCACUACUCAAAAAGGGUUCACAAAUAGUUUAUUAUUUAAAUAGAGUUAAAAGACAUCAAAAUCGCUAAGAUUAUUAAGAUAAUGUUGUCUUUUUGUUAGUAUAUCAUCUUAAAAAUUGGGAUCUCCCA